ACAUUGUCAUGGAAUUUCUAAUUCGCAUUAGACACAGAAAAUAAAGAGAAGACAUAAAAUGGAAAGAAAGAACUAAGGCCCUUUUUAUCUACAGAUUGCAUGAUCUAGCAUGUAAACAGUCAUAAAAGAAUUUACCCAGAACCAAUUAGACCUCAUACAUGAGUUCAGCAGAGUUGCAAGACGCAAGAUCAAUAUGGAAAAAAGUCUAUUCUAUUUCUAUAGCUUGGCAAUGGAAGUCCAAAAUGGAAAUUGCAAAAGCAAUUUCAAGCCAUUACCAUCAAAACCAAUUAAAUAUUUAGGGAUGAAUUUACCUAAAAAGCUAAAAAAAUUUCUUAAAACUACACCACAUAUUUGAGUGAAUUACAGAAGCCCUAGAGAGGUGAACGUGCCGCCCGUGCUCAGGGGACCUCGGGAAUGGACGACUGUAGGACGUGCAGCCCGUGCUCAGGGGACCUCGGGGAAUGGACGACUGUAGGACGUGCCGCCCGUGCUCAGGGGACCUCGGGAAUGGACGACUUAAUCCUGUCAAUGUGCUUCUGCUUACCAGGUCACGGACAGACUCAGCAGAACGCCUAUAGAUUUUAUUCAGCUAUUUAUUAAAUAAAAGUUGUCAUACAGAUCUCAAAACUUACAAGGCAGUGAGGAAAACCAAGUAGCUAAAAACAAUUCUAAAAAUAAAGACUAGUUCUCACACCUCCAUGGCGACCUGGUCCAUUGCUAGGCUAAUUCUCAUCAGGGUUGUGGGUCAGAGAACUGCUGACUUGGAGACACUUAGUGAUGUUUUGUGAGUUAGGCUUAGGUGAAGUAUCAUUAGCUACUAAUUUGGUUAGCAUUCUAUGAAUAUAAUAAUUAACAACAAUUUUAUGAAUACUACUUUUUAUCCUUAGCAUUAGGGACUUUGAGAAGGAUAAGGACCACCUUGCUAAGAAAUGGUUGGUAUACAGGAUGUUGGUUUGAAAUCAAAGCAAGGCCACCCAAAUACGGUUUUCUGCCAUAUUUGAGAGUUAUUUCGACAUCCGAGCAUCUUCUUUUCACAGAUGCUAUUGAAAGUAGCCCCAGAUCACUGAGAAACCACAGAGAAAGACAAGGAGUAUACAGGCUCAAACACCAGAGGGCUAAACUACUUUUUGAGCAAUAAAAACACCCUGGGUCUUCAUGAACAGCCAUAUUCCCCCCAGGUUUAUAGCGUUUCCAUUGGUGUUUUACGCAGAUUCUUAGCAAUGCCUCUCCUUUUGGCCAGGGUCUGUCUCUACAGGGCAUCGGUUCCUUUUGCAAAGGAGCUGCCGCUCUUUGCUAUUCCCAGAAUGCCCUUCCAGGUGUUACCUGGGGAAGAAUGACUUCUCUCUUUCCCCAGUAGUUAUUUUUAUUUUGAAGCUGAACGCAGCAGUGAACAGUCAGCCACCGACCCAAGAUUCCUCCCGGUUGCUUUGAGGAGGAAUGUCAGGUGAUGCCUGCUAGUUUACAGAGACUGGAAGCAGGUCAGUUGUUGUGAAUUGUUUCUAAUCAGCUCUUUGCAUCUAGUCAGGUGGUUUCUUCAUGUACCACAGCCCAGUGUUUCUGCGGUUUGGGACUCUCAGUGAUUGUCUUGGAAUUCCUUUGGUCCCUUGGUAAAGGCAGUUGGCUUAUUCACUGAGCAGUUGAGCUGGUUCCACCAAGUAGGGACUGUUGGCUGAGAAGAGCGUCAGUGUUGAAGCUAAGGAUAAAGUUGGCUCAUAGAACAUUUUAUCUGUUUUCUGAGUUUCUUGUCUCAGUACAUCAACAAAUUUGUUUAUACUUAAAGAGUUUCCCACAAGGCUACUUGCCAAAUUCAGAUGACUGCUUUUUUAGAUUGAUCUUGAUUUUUUUUGGAACAAGAGUUGAGAUUAUAUAAGCUCACUUGGUCUCAGUGAGAAAAUGCUGGGAGACCCUAUUUCUAUAUACACGAGACAAAGCUACACAUAGAAGAAAGAAAGACCUGUAAUCCAGUGGAUGUGAGGGAGAGAGCCUGGGGCAGGAAAUGUCACCCCUGUCUCCUUUGCCCAUGUGUACGUCUCUGAAGCUCUCAGUCAUUUGGAGGCUAGGUCCUGGGUACUAAGGUGUGUCAUGUUAGGGGAAAUUCUGGCCACAUGAUUUGAAUUAGUUUAUUUUUAUUUUAUUUUUUAAAUAAAUGACCUUUAGGGUUCUUGAUUUUUUUUUUUCUUUUUUGAGAGAGAGGUCUUUAGCUCUGGUUGUCUCAAAACUCCCUAAGUAUGCUGGGCUGGCCUCAAACUCACAGAGAUCCACCUGCCUCUGCCCCCAGAAUGUUAGGAUUAAAGGGUGUGCCACCACACCCAACCAUAGGGUUUUGAUUUCUAUAUUGGUAGAAACAUUGCCAGGAGCCACAGUAGCUCCAAUGUUAUACAUUAGAAUGAGAGGACUCCUUUCCUCUGAGCCUUGGGGAGCACUCCAUUGUGAAAAUCUCACUAGCCAGGGCCUGUUUAAAGAAAAGAAACUCCCUCCAUGAGGGGAUGCAGUGGUUAGUUGCUGUGUACUGCUGUGUAUGCCCAGGGUUGAUUUAUGGUCGCAGGCCACAUGGCACAAGAAUAAAAAGAUCCUGGAAGUUUAUCUGAGACUGAAGUUUUGGGGGACCGCAGAGGCCAUCGUGGGUGUUAACUUAAAAGAAGCUUUCGGGAAGGAAAUGGAUGCCUGCCACGCCCACAUUCAGAGGGCGCAUUAUCUUAUCCUCUUGCCUUCUGCACUGGUCACAUGGCCAGUGCUGCUAGGGCAAUUUGGAGCAGACUGGGUAAAAAACAGUUUCUUGACUAAUUUUAUG
rnacentral:lncRNA from 1 species